rnacentral:rRNA from 1 species
GCAGCAGCCGCGGUAAUACGAAGGGUGCAAGCGUUACUCGGAAUUACUGGGCGUAAAGCGUGCGUAGGUGGUGGUUUAAGUCCGUUGUGAAAGCCCUGGGCUCAACCUGGGAAUUGCAGUGGAUACUGGGUCACUAGAGUGUGGUAGAGGAUAGUGGAAUUUUCGGUGUAGCAGUGAAAUGCGUAGAGAUCGGAAGGAACAUCUGUGGCGAAGGCGACUAUCUGGGCCAACACUGACACUGAGGCACGAAAGCGUGGGGAGCAAACAGGAUUAGAUACCCGCGUAGUCCCUGUCUCUUAUAC